GAUGAAGAACGUAGUGAAAUGCGAUACGUAAUGUGAAUUGCAGAAUUCAGUGAAUCAUCGAGUCUUUGAACGCACAUUGCGCCCCCUGGUAUUCCGGGGGGCAUGCCUGUCCGAGCGUCAUUGCUGCCCUCAAGCACGGCUUGUGUGUUGGGCCUCCGCCCCCCGGCUCCCGGGGGGCGGGCCCGAAAGGCGGCGGCGGCACCGCGUCCGGUCCUCGAGCGUAUGGGGCUUCGUCACCCGCUCCGUAGGCCCGGCCGGCGCCCGCCGGCGACCCCCCUCAAUCUUUCCAGGUUGACCUCGGAUCAGGUAGGGAUACCCGCUGAACUUAAGCAUAUCAAUAAGCGGAGGA
rnacentral:misc_RNA from 1 species